UGGGGAAUAUUGCACAAUGGGCGCAAGCCUGAUGCAGCCAUGCCGCGUGUAUGAAGAAGGCCUUCGGGUUGUAAAGUACUUUCAGUCGGGAGGAAGGUGUCAAGGUUAAUAACCUUGGCAAUUGACGUUACCGACACAAGAAGCACCGGCUAACUCCGUGCCAGCAGCCGCGGUAAUACGGAGGGUGCAAGCGUUAAUCGGAAUUACUGGGCGUAAAGCGCACGCAGGCGGUUUGUUAAGUCAGAUGUGAAAUCCCCGGGCUCAACCUGGGAACUGCAUCUGAUACUGGCAAGCUUGAGUCUCGUAGAGGGGGGUAGAAUUCCAGGUGUAGCGGUGAAAUGCGUAGAGAUCUGGAGGAAUACCGGUGGCGAAGGCGGCCCCCUGGACGAAGACUGACGCUCAGGUGCGAAAGCGUGGGGAGCAAACAGG
rnacentral:rRNA from 1 species